UCCCUGGCGGCCUCAGCCGGCAUCGAAUCACCGCGGUUCCCAGAGGGCGUGAGGGGCUGGCGUGGACACACCGGGAAUGGACCGUACCCUUUUUCAAAAGGAACUCAUGAUGUAUACAAAUAGAAUGCUCUUCCCCUUCUUUGCUGGCCAAUUCCUACUCAUCUGUUAAAACCAAGCUUAGAGAUUACCUCUUUGAUGACAUCUCUACCAAGUCUGAUUGAGAACAUCUCUGUGAGCACAUAGUAUUCUAACAUCUCUAUCAUCAUACCAUGAAAUCAUCAGAGCUGGCAUCUCGCUUUGUUACCCUUACCCAGGCUGGUCUUGAACUCCUGACUUUGAAGGAUCCUCCCACCUCAGCCUCCCAAAGUGCUAGGAUUACAGG
rnacentral:lncRNA from 1 species